GUUUAAACAGUGGUGUAGUAGGUAUACGCCCUAAACCCCACAGAGGUUUAAAUAAAGGUUCAGUAAAAUAAAUAUGCACAAAACCCACUUUUUGUUCAGUGGACAUUGGGUAUAGUCACUUCUUAAUUCCCACUGAUCAGUAUCCAAGUAGUGUAGUGGUGGUAUAAACGGUAUCAAGUAUGUGGUACAAUAGAGAAAGUAGCCUACACAAUCGUAAAGCACGUGUAAUAUAUUCUUGUGCGCUGCACACAGCCAAGUUUCAGCUGAAUAUCAUAGCAGUAAGAGCCACAGCUGGUUGUCCCAUGGAGCAGCUCACAGCUGGUAGGGUAGGUAGGACUUGCCUAGUUAAAUAAAGGAUAAAUGAAUCAAAUCAAGAAACAAUGGGUAAGCAAACCAGGUAUUGAAACAGUUUGGUCCAAAGUCUUGGUUGAAUCUUUGCAGUGCUCAAUUCAGUCAUCAUGUGCUGUUUUGAAUGAACAUUUCCAAAUGCUUUCCCAAGGAAAACGUCCUAAUUAAAGCUGCAAUAUGUAAAUUUGGGGCGACCCAACAAGUUCAUAGAGGUUGAGAAUGUACAAAGACUCUGUUUAAUUACUUAUUGUUUUGUCACAAACUGAAAUUAGGCGAACUUAGAAUUUUAGCAACCAGGAAAUGGCAGAGCUAUUUCUGUAUAGUGCAUCUUUAAAUGUUGACUGCAAAUUAGGCAUACAUGAUAUAAUUAUGAUUUGUAUCAAUCUGGAGGGCAUUUCUUUUGAAAACUCUGCAAUCACAUGUACUCUACUGUAGGCCUACAUUGUAGAGUACAGACACUGCGAGCCACAUGGUAUUUUGCUUAAUUAUUUUAAAGGGCAACUAGACCCUCCCAAAAAUAGUAUUUUAGAUUUUUCCCAGAUCUCAAAAAUGGUCUCCUUGUGCGGUAUAAGCAUUGAUGUGGGCUUAACAUGCAUUUGUUGUUUUUCUAUGAAAGAUUUUUCUGGCAAAAUGAUGGUGUACUCACUUCUCCAGGCAUCGCUACACCAAUGGGUUUUCCUGUAUCUGUGAGUGAUUUGAUUUGGGACCUGAAUCUCCAACAGGCUUAGGUUGUUUAUGCGAUGUCUCACUCCCAUAGGCUGCUUCACUUGUCAAUCAUGUCUGCUAUCUCGCCCUGUAAUCUGUGAUAUCUCUCUCUCAAACACUCCUCUGUCCCUCGUUGUCAACUCUUUAUUUAAAUAAGAUAUUAAGCUCUACUUCUCUUAUCCUACAGUAUCUUCACCUGUCUGACAAAUCAAGCAAAUGAGAAAAUAAAACAAUCUGAAGAGAACCACACAGGGUUGAAUUGAUGAAAGCUGAAGUCAUUUAGUAAUUUAACUUAUUGACUUAUUGUAAUGAAUUGUAACAUUAUUUUAAAUGAACUGAUUUAUUAAUCCAAAA